rnacentral:rRNA from 1 species
AUGGCUAAAUUCUUUUGGAGUAGUUAUCUUGACAAGAAGGCAAUGCAUUAGGUCUCUUGGGAUAACCUAGUGACACCAAAGUGCAAGGGGGGCAUGGGAUUUGGUGAAAAGCACCAGUUUAACAUAGCCAUGCUUGGUAAACAGGGGUGGAGGCUAUUAACCCAGCCGAAUACUCUCUGUUCAAGAGUUCUGAAAGGCCGUUAUUACCUGGAUGCAGAGUUUAUGAACACAACUAUACCACACUCUGCGUCGGCAACUUGGCAAGCGAUUGGGGCUGGACGGGAAGCUCUCAAGAGAGGCUUGAUAAAAAGGAUUGGUAAUGGAACAUCCACGUCCAUUUGGACUGACAAAUGGAUACCAGGUACCAUUUCCAUGACACCACUGCUGAAACCGCCGAACACACCAUUGGAAACAGUGGCUGACUUGAUUGACAACGAGAAUGGGACUUGGUGGCGGUAG